rnacentral:rRNA from 1 species
AUUGAACGCUGGCGGCAGGCCUAACACAUGCAAGUCGAGCGGAGCGGCGGACGGGUGAGUAAUGGCUAGGAAUCUGACUGGUAGUGGGGGAUAAGGUCCGGAAACGGGCGCUAAUACCGCAUACUAUCAGAUGAGCCUCGGUCGGAUUAGGUAGUUGGUGGGGUAAAGGCUUACCAAGGCGACGAUCCGUAACUGGUCUGAGAGGAUGAUCAGUCACACUGGAACUGAGACACUGCCCAGACUCCUACGGGAGGCAGCAGUGGGGAAUAUUGGACAAUGGGCGAAAGCCUGAUCCAGCCAUGCCGCGUGUAUGAAGAAGGUCUUCGGAUUGUAAAGCACUUUAAGUAGAGAGGCGUUACCUACAGAAUAAGCACCGGCUAACUUCGUGCCAGCAGCCGCGGUAAUAC